GUAGGUGAACCUGCGGAGGGAUCAUUCACAUGAUUUACUUUAUCAAACAAACUGUGAACUUUAUAUACUAUUCGUGUUGAUUGUUUGAUGUUUAUAUUCAUCAAUUUAACACUGUCAUUCGUUGAACAUUAGAUAGCUGGCUUUGUUGAAUUAAUUCAACAUUUCUCAGCUGAUUUGUUGUAUAGACUAAACAUCUUACAAACAAUCACCAAAACAUAGAAACAACUCUAUGCCCUGGAUAUCUUGGUUC
rnacentral:misc_RNA from 1 species